rnacentral:rRNA from 1 species
GUGGGGAAUUUUGGACAAUGGGGGCAACCCUGAUCCAGCCAUGCCGCGUGCGGGAAGAAGGCCUUCGGGUUGUAAACCGCUUUUGUCAGGGAAGAAAUCCUUUGGGUUAAUACCUCGGAGGGAUGACGGUACCUGAAGAAUAAGCACCGGCUAACUACGUGCCAGCAGCCGCGGUAAUACGUAGGGUGCGAGCGUUAAUCGGAAUUACUGGGCGUAAAGCGUGCGCAGGCGGUUUUGUAAGAUCGAUGUGAAAUCCCCGGGCUCAACCUGGGAACUGCAUUGGUGACUGGAAGGCUGGAGUGCGGCAGAGGGGGAUGGAAUUCCGCGUGUAGCAGUGAAAUGCGUAGAUAUGCGGAGGAACACCGAUGGCGAAGGCAAUCCCCUGGGCCUGCACUGACGCUCAUGCACGAAAGCGUGGGGAGCAAACAGGAUUAGAUACCCCUGUAGUCC